rnacentral:rRNA from 1 species
GGCCUACCAUGGUGGUAACGGGUAACGGGGUGUUAGGGCACGACACCGGAGAGGGAGCCUGAGAAACGGCUACCACAUCCAAGGAUGGCAGCAGGCGCGCAAAUUACCCAAUCCCGACACGGGGAGGUAGUGACAAUAAAUAACAAUACGGGGCUCUUUAGGGUCUCGUAAUUGGAAUGAGUACAAUUUAAAUCUCUUAACGAGGAACAAUUGGAGGACAAGUCUGGUGCCAGCAGCCGCGGUAAUUCCAGCUCCAAUAGCGUAUAUUAAAGUUGUUGCAGUUAAAAAGCUCGUAGUUGAAUUUCGGGGUCAGCAGGUUGGUCGUGCCACUGGUAUGCACUGGUUUCGCUGAUUCCUCCUUUCUGAAGAACUGUAAUGCCAUUAAUUUGGUGUUGCAGGGAAACAGGACUGUUACUUUGAAAAAAUUAGAGUGUUUAAAGCAGGCUAACGCUUGAAUACAUUAGCAUGGAAUAAUGAAAUAGGACGUUUGAUCCUAUUUUGUUGGUUUCUAGGAUUGACGUAAUGAUUAAUAGGGAUAGUUGGGGGCAUUAGUAUUCAAUUGUCAGAGGUGAAAUUCUUGGAUUUAUUGAAGACUAACUACUGCGAAAGCAUUUGCCAAGGAUGUUUUCAUUAAUCAAGAACGAAAGUUAGGGGAUCGAAGACGAUCAGAUACCGUCGUAGUCUUAACCAUAAACUAUGCCGACUAGGGAUCGGAUGAUGUUAAUUUUUUAAUGACUCAUUCGGCGCCUUACG